rnacentral:misc_RNA from 1 species
UCAAACAGCAACCUUCGGAAGCCCUAGUGGCUGCGUCUACACCUAAGUCUUUUGCUGUACUCAUAUGUUUCCUCGGCGGCGUAAGUCCUGCCGUAAUGGACAAUUCUCAAAACCUUUUUGUAAUUGCAAUCAGCGUCAUAAACAUAAUAAUUAUUA